CUCCAUCAUUCUAAUGGCUAAUGAGGAAGUUUUCCUGCAGUGAGAACCCCGGCACAGCCCGGUCCAUCAGAGCCUCCAGGUCACUGUGCAUACUCCCCAGAGACUCUGACCCACAUGGGAAGGAGGGGCUGGAUCCAGGAGUGAGCUGCACAGGGAAGAAAGAAGCCUUCAGAGAACAGAGCACCUGGUCCACCCACCUCACCUGCCUCAGGUCCCUACCCAGGGAGACGCCACAGGUGCUUCUGGGGAUCAGGGAGGGGUAAUCCCUCCAUUCUCUCCAUCUGAGGGGCCUUGUGUGGCUAGACCAAGGUGAUGGGAGCUGCUCUGCAAAAUUUGCCUCUUCGUGGGACCUCUCCCAGCACAAUUUAAAUAUCCGGAACUGGACAUCAUCAGACUUCCCAAGAAACACACAAGAAAGCCCACCGUUGCCUACUCACUUAUUUUAAAUGCUGUGAUGCUCUGCCUCACAAUCAGAGAUUCCAUUUUUUCACCAAUGCAUUAUUUCCU
rnacentral:lncRNA from 1 species